rnacentral:lncRNA from 1 species
CUUUUCCAUUGAGCCGAUGUAAUCUAUUACAUACUUUGUCACACUUCCAAUGGACACUACCCAUUUCCAGUAAAUUAACUCAGGGUUACAAGUUUUGCUCAAGGGCACAUUGACAGUGGGCCUCGUUGUUGGUUCAUCGAGGCAAAUGGUUCACUUUCCCCGCCCCAAGAGGUGACUGCUGGCUGAAUAAUGUAUUUUUGUCCCUGCGCCAGCCUCCUAGAAACAGCCUAAGUUACAGCACACAACAAAAGCCCACAUUUCACCUGCGUGCCUUACUGCUGGGACACCUGUAGCCACGACACCCAUCGCUUAACGCGUUUUUUUUUUUUUGGAGGAAGAACGCAUGAUGCGCUAUUACGCACGGGACUAAAGGAAUUCGACGAGCAGCCUGUCUUUUUUGUCACUCCUCCAGGGGAUACGCUGUCCAUAGUUUUGGAGUCCUCUCCAUUUAUAGAGACGAUAUCUAUGCACGACGUCAUCAGCGCAGUUACAGCCUCUCCUCACCUGUCAACUCUGAAGUUCACCGCACAGUCCUCUAUGUGCACAGGACAGGAUGGGAUGCUCCACAAGUUCCCAAACUUCCGCGGUAGAAAGCAAUCCACCCGUCCAUAAACAAGACGAGAGCAACGGAGCCAGCACAACAGGAGCAGCCAAUGAGAAUGGGAAAGUAGCCGAGGACAGCGAAACCAUUCCGGACCAGACACCUGCUCAGGGCGGCGAUGCUAAACCAGCAGACGAACCCGCUGCAGCUGCAACGUCUGCAGACAACACCGCUGCAGCUCCACCUGCAGCUGAGGAAGCUCCGCCUGCUGCAGACAGUCCGCCUGCAGAGGCAGCAGCACCUGUGGAGGCUUCGGCAGCAGCACCUGCAGAGGCUUCGGCAGCAGCACCUGCAGAGGCUUCGGCGGCAGCUGAAAGCAGCGCAGAGCCUGCAGCUGAAGCUCCUGAGCAAGAAAAAGCAGAGGCCACAGCGACCGAUGAAGAGCCCAAAACAGAGGAGGCACCAGGUGAGUGCUGCUGUAACACAAGGCCACACAAUCCAUAUCAGAAUAUCUACUGUCACCCUAAUGUGUUUCCUCUCUGUCUGUCUUCAGCUCCCAGUGAGUGA